rnacentral:rRNA from 1 species
UGAAUACGAGACGCUAAGGCGUCGAAGUAGUAUAUGUCAUACUUCCAAGAAAAGCUUGCACUGUCAUAGAUAAAAAACGCCUGUACCAUAACCGACACAGGUGGGUAGGUAGAGUAUACUAAGGGGCGCGAGAUAACUCUCUCUAAGGAACUCGGCAAAAUAACUCCGUAACUUCGGGAGAAGGAGUGCCUUAUUCGUAAGGUUGCAAUAACAAGAUCCAAGCAACUGUUUAUCAAAAACACAGGUCUCCGCUAAGUCGUAAGACGAUGUAUGGGGGCUGACGCCUGCCCAGUGCCAGAAGGUUAAAGAAGUUGGUUAGCAAUUGCGAAGCUGAUAACUGAAGCCCUGGUGAACGGCGGCCGUAACAAUAACGGUCCUAAGGUAGCGAAAUUCCUUGUCGGGUAAGUUCCGACCCGCACGAAAGGCGUAAUGAUUUGGAUACUGUCUCGGAGAGGGGCUCGUGAAAUAGACUUGUCUGUGAAGAUGCGGACUACCUGCACCAGGACAGAAAGACCCUAUGAAGCUUUACUGUAACUUGAAAUUGAAAUUGGACUUUAUUCGCGCAGUAUAGGUGGGAGGCGUUGAUUAUAAUCUUGUGGGAUUAUUGGAGCCAUCAGUGAGAUACCACUCUUGUAAUGUUAGAUUUCUAACUUUGAAUCAUUAUCUGGUCAAAGAACAGUUUCAGGCGGGCAGUUUGACUGGGGCGGUCGCCUCCUAAACGGUAACGGAGGCGUACAAAGGUUUCCUCUGAACGGUUAGAAAUCGUAUCUAGAGUGUAAAGGCAUAAGGAAGCUUGACUGUGAGACCUACAAGUCGAGCAGGGACGAAAGUCGGUCUUAGUGAUCUGACGGUACUGAGUGGAAAGGCCGUCACUCAACGGAUAAAAGUUACUCUAGGAUAACAGGCUGAUCUCCCCCAAGAGUUCACAUCGACGGGGAGGUUUGGCACCUCGAUGUCGGCUCAUCGCAUCCUGGGGCGGUAGUACGUCCCAAGGGUUGGGCUGUUCGCCCAUGAAAGCGGUACGCGAGCUGGGUUCAGAACGUCGUGAGACAGUUCGGUCCAUAUCCGGUGUAGGCGUUAGAAUAUUGAGAGGAGCCUUCUUUAGUACGAGAGGACCGAGAAGGACAUACCUCUGGUGUACCAGUUAUCGUGCCAACGGUAAACGCUGGGUAGCUAUGUAUGGAGUGGAUAACCGCUGAAAGCAUCUAAGUGGGAAGCCCACCUCAAGAUAAGUAUUCUCA